AUUGAACGCUGGCGGCAGGCCUAACACAUGCACGUCGGGCGAGCGGCGGACGGGUGAGUAGUGUAUGAGUCCUGCCUGAUGGCGGGCUAUAACUACUGGAAACUGUAGCUUACACCGCAUACCCUCAGGUCACCCAUAUGGGAUUCACUUGUAGGUGAGGUAACGGCUCACCUAGGCGACGAUCCCUAGCUUGUCUGAGAGGAUGAUCAGCAACACUGGGACUGAGACACGGACCAGACUCCUACGGAGGUAGCAGUGGGGAAUAUUGUACAAUGGGCGCAAUCCUGAUGCAGCCAUGCGGCGUGUAUGAAGAAGGCCUUCGGGUUGUACAGUACUUUCAGUCGGGAGGCGUCACCCACAGAAGAAGCACCGGCUAACUCCGUGCCAGCAGCCGCGGUAAUAC
rnacentral:rRNA from 1 species